rnacentral:lncRNA from 1 species
UGAUGUUUGAUGUGUAUCCCUUGCAACGGCGCCAGAAAUAGUUGUGUCGACGGCACGAGGAAUCCUUCAGCUGCGGCUACGCCUUAAGGGACUUCCUAGGCAAGUAUGCAAAGGAUUUCCCCCGUGGCCUUGGAGCCUUGCGUUGGUGUUCCCGCGAAGCGGAAAGGGUGAUGUAGCACAACGACAGUAAGUAUUUUCCUCAGUUUGAGAACCAAGGUAUCAAUCCGGCGGAGGAGUAUCUCAAGAUCAUGCACAAAGACAAAAGCUUGCACCCAACGCUAUGAAGGGGUUGUCAAUCCCUUAUAGAUUGUUUGCCAAGUGAGAACUGAAAGCAACAAAGUAACAAAACAAAGUAAAAGUGGAGGUCUAAACGAUGGAUGUGAAUAGACCCCGGGGCUGUAGUGUUUACUAGUGGCUUCUCUCAUGAAAGCAAGUAG